rnacentral:rRNA from 1 species
UACGGAGGAUCCAAGCGUUAUCCGGAAUCAUUGGGCUUAAAGGGUCCGUAGGCGGUUUAAUAAGUCAGUGGUGAAACCUGGUCGCUCAACGAUCAAACGGCCAUUGAUACUGUUAGACUUGAAUUAUUGGGAAGUAACUAGAAUAUGUAGUGUAGCGGUGAAAUGCUUAGAUAUUACAUGGAAUACCAAUUGCGAAGGCAGGUUACUGGCAAUAUAUUGACGCUGAUGGACGAAAGCGUGGGGAGCGAACAGG